rnacentral:rRNA from 1 species
AACGAACGCUGGCGGCAUGCCUAACACAUGCAAGUCGAACGAGACCUUCGGGUCUAGUGGCGCACGGGUGCGUAACGCGUGGGAACCUGCCCUUAGGUUCGGAAUAACUCCCCGAAAGGGGUGCUAAUACCGGAUAAUGUCUUCGGACCAAAGAUUUAUCGCCUUUGGAUGGGCCCGCGUUGGAUUAGCUAGUUGGUAGGGUAAAAGCCUACCAAGGCGACGAUCCAUAGCUGGUCUGAGAGGAUGAUCAGCCACACUGGGACUGAGACACGGCCCAGACUCCUACGGGAGGCAGCAGUGGGGAAUAUUGGACAAUGGGCGAAAGCCUGAUCCAGCAAGGCCGCGUGAGUGAUGAAGGCCUUAGGGUUGUAAAGCUCUUUUACCCGGGAUGAUAAUGACAGUACCGGGAGAAUAAGCUCCGGCUAACUCCGUGC